CCUACGGGAGGCAGCAGUGGGGAAUAUUGCACAAUGGGGGGAACCCUGAUGCAGCAAUGCCGCGUGGGUGAAGAAGCACUCCGGUUCGUAAAGCCCUGUCAGCAGGGAAGAAAAUUACAGUACCUGAACAAUCACCCCCGGCUAACUACGUGCCAGCAGCCGCGGUAAUACGUAGGGGGCAAGCGUUAUCCGGAUUUACUGGGUGUAACGGGAGCGCAGGCGGCUUGGCAAGUCAGAUGUGAAAACCCGGGGUCCAACCCCGGGAGUGCAUUUGAAACUGCCAUGCUGGAGUGCAGUAGAGGUAAGCGGAAUUCCAAGUGGAGCGGUGAAAUGCGUAGAUAUUAGGAGGAACACCAGUGGCGGAGGCGGCUUACUGGACGGUAACUGACGCUGAGGCUCGAAAGCGUGGGGAGCAAACAGGAUUAGAUACCCGAGUAGUC
rnacentral:rRNA from 1 species